AUUGAACGCUGGCGGCAGGCUUAACACAUGCAAGUCGAGCGGGGUGAUGGUGCUUGCACUAUCACUUAGCGGCGGACGGGUGAGUAAUGCUUAGGAAUCUGCCUAUUAGUGGGGGACAACAUCUCGAAAGGGAUGCUAAUACCGCAUACGUCCUACGGGAGAAAGCAGGGGAUCACUUGUGACCUUGCGCUAAUAGAUGAGCCUAAGUCGGAUUAGCUAGUUGGUGGGGUAAAGGCCUACCAAGGCGACGAUCUGUAGCGGGUCUGAGAGGAUGAUCCGCCACAAUGGGCCUGGGACACGGCCAAGACUCCGACGGGAGGCAGCAGUGGGGAAUAGUGGACAAUGGGGGGAACCCUGAUCCAGCCAUGCCGCGUGUGUGAAGAAGGCCUUAUGGUUGUAAAGCACUCUAAGCGAGGAGGAGGCUCUUUUGGUUAAUACCCAAGAUGAGUGGACGUUACUCGCAGAAUAAGCACCGGCUAACUCUGUGCCAGCCGCCGCCGUAA
rnacentral:rRNA from 1 species